rnacentral:ncRNA from 1 species
UCAAAUUCAACGAUGGGAACAGUAAGUCAUGUCAUUCGUUCUUCAGAGAGCCGGGCCUUUACGAGCUGCAAGCCGGCGUACGAAGCAUCGACCGAAGAUCAUCCCGGAGAAGUACGUUCGAAUCCUUUUUGCCAAGUGAUCAUAAGGUCCGCAAAAAGAGAGUAGGCCGUACCGGAAGCCGACCGUUACAGCGGACCCGUAUUGUUUGAUACGGAGACUAAGGUGUCGCUUUUUUUGCGCGGUGCCCGAAAAGCGGAGUGCUCAGACGUUUUUCGGACAGGACGUGCAAUAGGCGAAACAAGGGUGGUAACGCGAGCUAACCUCGUCCCUUUU